GACGAACGCUGGCGGCGUGCUUAACACAUGCAAGUCGAACGGAAAGGCCCUGCUUUUGUGGGGUGCUCGAGUGGCGAACGGGUGAGUAACACGUGAGUAACCUGCCCUUGACUUUGGGAUAACUUCAGGAAACUGGGGCUAAUACCGGAUAGGAGCUCCUGCUGCAUGGUGGGGGUUGGAAAGUUUCGGCGGUUGGGGAUGGACUCGCGGCUUAUCAGCUUGUUGGUGGGGGAGUGGCUUACCAAGGCUUUGACGGGUAGCCGGCCUGAGAGGGUGACCAGCCACAUUGGGACUGCGAUACGGCCCAGACUCCUACGGGAGGCAGCAGUGGGGAAUAUUGCACAAUGGGCGGAAGCCUGAUGCAGCAACGCCGCGUGCGGGAUGACGGCCUUCGGGUUGUAAACCGCUUUCGCCUGUGACGAAGCGUGAGUGACGGUACUGGGUAAAGAAGCACCGGCUAACUACGUG
rnacentral:rRNA from 1 species